rnacentral:rRNA from 1 species
UACAGAGGUGGCAAGCGUUGUUCGGAAUUACUGGGCGUAAAGGGCGCGUAGGCGGCUUGGUCAGUCCCGUGUGAAAUCCCUCGGCUCAACUGAGGAACUGCACGGGAAACUGCCUGGCUUGAGUUCGGGAGAGGGAAGCGGAAUUCCGGGUGUAGCGGUGAAAUGCGUAGAUAUCCGGAGGAACACCGGUGGCGAAGGCGGCUUCCUGGACCGACACUGACGCUGAGGCGCGAAAGCGUGGGGAGCGAACAGG